GUGGGGAAUAUUGGACAAUGGGCGAAAGCCUGAUCCAGCCAUGCCGCGUGUGUGAAGAAGGUCUUCGGAUUGUAAAGCACUUUAAGUUGGGAGGAAGGGCAGUAAGCUAAUACCUUGCUGUUUUGACGUUACCGACAGAAUAAGCACCGGCUAACUUCGUGCCAGCAGCCGCGGUAAUACGAAGGGUGCAAGCGUUAAUCGGAAUUACUGGGCGUAAAGCGCGCGUAGGUGGUUUUGUAAGUUGGAGGUGAAAUCCCCGGGCUCAACCUGGGAACUGCCUCCAAAACUGCAUGACUAGAGUACGGUAGAGGGUAGUGGAAUUUCCUGUGUAGCGGUGAAAUGCGUAGAUAUAGGAAGGAACACCAGUGGCGAAGGCGACUACCUGGACUGAUACUGACACUGAGGUGCGAAAGCGUGGGGAGCAAACAGGAUUAGAAACCCUAGUAGUCC
rnacentral:rRNA from 1 species